rnacentral:tRNA from 2 species
GCGUCUGUAGUUCAACUGGAUAGAAUAACCGGUUUCGACCCGGUGGGUUGUGGGUUCGAAUCCUACCAGGCGUACCA